rnacentral:rRNA from 1 species
UACGAAGGGGGCUAGCGUUGUUCGGAUUUACUGGGCGUAAAGCGCACGUAGGCGGAUCGUUAAGUCGGGGGUGGAAUCCUGGAGCUCAACUCCAGAACUGCCUUUGAUACUGAAGAUCUUGAGUUCGGGAGAGGUGAGUGGAACUGCGAGUGUAGAGGUGAAAUUCGUAGAUAUUCGCAAGAACACCAGUGGCGAAGGCGGCUCACUGGCCCGAGUACUGACGCUGAGGCACGAAAGCGUGGGGGAGCAAACAGGG